UAGGGAAUCUUCCGCAAUGGGCGAAAGCCUGACGGAGCAACGCCGCGUGAGUGAUGAAGGUCUUCGGAUCGUAAAACUCUGUUAUUAGGGAAGAACAAAUGUGUAAGUAACUAUGCACAUCUUGACGGUACCUAAUCAGAAAGCCACGGCUAACUACGUUCCAGCAGCCGCGGUAAUACGUAGGUGGCAAGCGUUAUCCGGAAUUAUUGGGCGUAAAGCGCGCGUAGGCGGUUUUUUAAGUCUGAUGUGAAAGCCCACGGCUCAACCGUGGAGGGUCAUUGGAAACUGGAAAACUUGAGUGCAUAAGAAGAAGAUGGGAUUCCAGGUGUAGCGGUGAAAUGCGCAGAGUUAUGGAGGAACACCAGUGGCGAAGGCGACUUUCUAGUCUGUAUCUGACGCUGAUGUGCGAAAGCGUGGGGAUCAAACAGG
rnacentral:rRNA from 1 species